UACGUAGGGACCGAGCGUUGUCCGGAUUCAUUGGGCGUAAAGAGCUCGUAGGCGGCCACUCAAGUCGAAUGUGAAACCUCGAGGCUUAACCUCGAGCCUGCAUUCGAUACUGGGCGGCUAGAGUCUGGUAGGGGGAUCUGGAAUUCCUGGUGUAGCGGUGGAAUGCGCAGAUAUCAGGAGGAACACCGAUGGCGAAGGCAGGUCUCUGGGCCAUAACUGACGCUGAGAAGCGAAAGCAUGGGGAGCGAACAGG
rnacentral:rRNA from 1 species